GUCGAGCGGUAGAGAGAAGCUUGCUUCUCUUGAGAGCGGCGGACGGGUGAGUAAUGCCUAGGAAUCUGCCUGGUAGUGGGGGAUAACGUUCGGAAACGGACGCUAAUACCGCAUACGUCCUACGGGAGAAAGCAGGGGACCUUCGGGCCUUGCGCUAUCAGAUGAGCCUAGGUCGGAUUAGCUAGUUGGUGAGGUAAUGGCUCACCAAGGCGACGAUCCGUAACUGGUCUGAGAGGAUGAUCAGUCACACUGGAACUGAGACACGGUCCAGACUCCUACGGGAGGCAGCAGUGGGGAAUAUUGGACAAUGGGCGAAAGCCUGAUCCAGCCAUGCCGCGUGUGUGAAGAAGGUCUUCGGAUUGUAAAGCACUUUAAGUUGGGAGGAAGGGUUGUAGAUUAAUACUCUGCAAUUUUGACGUUACCGACAGAAUAAGCACCGGCUAACUCUGUGCCAGCAGCCGCGGUAAUACAGAGGGUGCAAGCGUUAAUCGGAAUUACUGGGCGUAAAGCGCGCGUAGGUGGUUCGUUAAGUUGGAUGUGAAAGCCCCGGGCUCAACCUGGGAACUGCAUUCAAAACUGACGAGCUAGAGUAUGGUAGAGGGUGGUGGAAUUUCCUGUGUAGCGGUGAAAUGCGUAGAUAUAGGAAGGAACACCAGUGGCGAAGGCGACCACCUGGACUGAUACUGACACUGAGGUGCGAAAGCGUGGGGAGCAAACAGGAUUAGAUACCCUGGUAGUCCACGCCGUAAACGAUGUCAACUAGCCGUUGGAAUCCUUGAGAUUUAGUGGCGCAGCUAACGCAUUAAGUUGACCGCCUGGGGAGUACGGCCGCAGGUUAAAACUCAAUGAAUUGACGGGGCCCGCACAAGC
rnacentral:rRNA from 1 species